CCUACGGGAGGCAGCAGUGAGGAAUAUUGGUCAAUGGACGAGAGUCUGAACCAGCCAAGUAGCGUGCAGGAUGACGGCCCUAUGGGUUGUAAACUGCUUUUAUAAGGGAAUAAAGUUAGUCUCGUGAGACUUUUUGCAUGUACCUUAUGAAUAAGGACCGGCUAAUUCCGUGCCAGCAGC
rnacentral:rRNA from 1 species